rfam:Acyrthosiphon pisum strain LSR1 Contig29908, whole genome shotgun sequence.
GGGGAUGUAGCUCAGUGGUAGAGCGUUCGCUUUGCAUGCGAAAGGCCCCGGGUUCGGUCCCCGGCAUCUCCA